CGCGGGAGCUUAGACCUCGUCCGAGUUUCCUGAAGCCCAGUGGACUGUCUGCAUUCAGCGUAGUGUUUAAGCGCGAUCGCUGCUGUAGAAGAGGAGAGGGCUGCGACCCAAUUUGCGGAGCUUCCCUUGCCGAUUGCAGCUUUUGUGCUAUAUAGCAGUCAUAGCCCAACCAGUAUCUUAGAGGAGAGGAGGUGACAUGGCAUACAGCACAGGCGACUCCAGAUGAAGAGUAAAUGGAGAUGGAGCUUCACCUUGUUGCUGAACUUGACUUCCUGGGCUCAAGUGACCUUCCCACCUCGGCUUCCUGAGUAACUGGGACUACAGGCAUGCACCACUACUCCCACCUUAUUCAUUUUUGUAUCACCAGUGCUUGACACAUUGUUGGUAAUCAAUGUAUUUUUAAAAAAUAAGCCUGUGAAUGUAUAAAUUAAUAAAUGGAUGAAUGAAUAAAGACAUGAGCCACCUAGCACAGGUGCCUGGGACACAAGAGGUAUUCAGUACAUGUUUCUUUUCCUUCCCUGGCUCUGGGGGGUAGAGGCCACAUAUGCAGCCUCUGUGCCUGGCACUUGGUAGGCCUCGGUGAGUGUGUAUAGGUGGAAUGACAGACUCUUGGGGGAUCUGAGCCUUUGAGGCUGAGGAAGGGUUUGUUUUUUCAGCUUCACACUCCAGGGAGUGAUGUGCUACCUCAGCCAGGGCUUCCCCCCACCGCAGGAU